rnacentral:rRNA from 1 species
UAACGCGUGGAUAAUCUGCCUGUAAGACAGGGAUAACGCCGGGAAACCGGUGCUAAUACCCGAUAACCUCUUUGGAUCGCAUGGUCUGAAUAGAAAAGGUGGCCUCUUUACAAUGCUACCACUUACAGAUGAAUCCGCGUCCCAUUAGCCAGUUGGUGGGGUAAAGGCCUACCAAAGCGACGAUGGGUAGCCGGCCUGAGAGGGUGACCGGCCACACUGGAACUGAGAUACGGUCCAGACUCCUACGGGAGGCAGCAGUGGGGAAUCUUCCGCAAUGGGCGAAAGCCUGACGGAGCAACGCCGCGUGAGCGAAGAAGGUCUUCGGAUUGUAAAGCUCUGUGAUAUUGGACGAACAAUUUCCCGUAAAUAAUGGGAAGGAAUGACGGUACAAUAAGAGGAAGCCACGGCUAACUACGUGCCAGCAGCCGCGGUAAUACGUAGGUGGCAAGCGUUAUCCGGAAUUAUUGGGCGUAAAGGGAGCGUAGGCGGCUUACUAAGUCAGAAGUGAAAACGCCGGGCUCAACUCCGAAUUGCCUUAGAAACUGUCAGGCUAGAGUGCAGGAGAGGGCAAUGGAAUUCCAUGUGUAGCGGUAAAAUGCGUAGAUAUAUGGAGGAACACCAGUGGCGAAGGCGGUUGCCUGGCCUGUAACUGACGCUGAGGCUCGAAAGCGUGGGGAGCAAAUAGGAUUAGAUACCCUAGUAGUCCACGCUGUAAACGAUGAAUACUAAGUGUUGGAGAAAUUCAGUGCUGCAGUUAACGCAAUAAGUAUUCCGCCUGGGGAGUACGGUCGCAAGACUGAAACUCAAAGGAAUUGACGGGGGCCCGCACAAGCGGAGGAGCAUGUGGUUUAAUUCGACGCAACGCGAAAAACCUUACCUGGGUUUGACAUCCUGGGAACCCUUAAGCCCCUUUCCUUCGGGGCAACAGUUACAGGUGCUGCAUGGCUGUCGUCAGCUCGUGUCGUGAGAUGUUGGGUUAAGUCCCGCAACGAGCGCAACCCUUAUCUUUAGUUGCCACCAUUCAGUUGGGCACUCUAAGGAGACUGCCGGUGACAAACCGGAGGAAGGUGGGGAUGACGUCAAAUCAUCAUGCCCCUUAUGACCUGGGCUACAAACGUAAUACAAUGGCGUAUACAAAGGGAUGCGAAAGGGUGACCUGGAGCAAAACUCACAAAGUACGUCUCAGUUCAGAUUGGAGUCUGCAACUCGACUCCAUGAAGUUGGAAUCGCUAGUAAUCGCGGAUCAGCACGCCGCGGUGAAUACGUUCCCGGGCCUUGUACACACCGCCCGUCACACCACGAAAGUCGAUUGUACCUGA